AGGUCUUGACAUCUUGCGCUAACCUAAGAGAUUAGGCGUUCCCUUCGGGGACGCAAUGACAGGUGGUGCAUGGUCGUCGUCAGCUCGUGUCGUGAGAUGUUGGGUUAAGUCCCGCAACGAGCGCAACCCUUGUUACUAGUUGCCAGCAUUCAGUUGGGCACUCUAGUGAGACUGCCGGUGACAAACCGGAGGAAGGUGGGGACGACGUCAGAUCAUCAUGCCCCUUAUGACCUGGGCUACACACGUGCUACAAUGGCCGGUACAACGAGCAGCUAACCCGCGAGGGUGUGCAAAUCUCUUAAAGCCGGUCUCAGUUCGGACUGCAGUCUGCAACUCGACUGCACGAAGUCGGAAUCGCUAGUAAUCGCGGAUCAGCAUGCCGCGGUGAAUACGUUCCCGGGCCUU
rnacentral:rRNA from 1 species